GUGGGUAGAGCUCAGUGGUAGAGUGUGUGCUUAGCAUGCAUGAAGUCCUGGGUUCAAUCCCUAGUACUUCCA
rnacentral:tRNA from 1 species